UACAGAGGGUGCGAGCGUUAAUCGGAAUUACUGGGCGUAAAGGGCGCGUAGGCGGUCGGGAGAGUGUGGUGUGAAAGCCCUGGGCUUAACCUAGGAAGCGCACCGCAAACGUCCUGACUGGAGUAUAAGAGAGGGUGGCGGAAUUUCCGGUGUAGCGGUGAAAUGCGUAGAGAUCGGAAGGAACGUCGAUGGCGAAGGCAGCCACCUGGCUUAAUACUGACGCUGAGGCGCGAAAGCGUGGGUAGCGAACAGG
rnacentral:rRNA from 1 species